GGCAAAAACUAGGACCAUUAUUGCAUUAGACAUGAGUGCUAAUUGUGCUUAGCUAUAGAAAAGAUAUGAUUUGUCCACUGCAAUUAAGGGCUAAGACUAGGGCCAUAGCCCUAGUAGCCCUAGUGUUGGGUCCGCCACUAGAAACAGCAGCACCACCUUUACCUUUGACGUCUCGUGCUGGCAGCUGUAGGUCAGUCUGCUGUUGAUGAGAGAAGCCCGUCAUCGCACCAGCCAGCUUGUUCGCAGCAUCCACGUCCACCAUGGAAGAAGACUGUCCUUCAGCUGAACCCGCCUGUUCUGG
rnacentral:lncRNA from 1 species